rnacentral:rRNA from 1 species
UAGGGAAUCUUCGGCAAUGGACGGAAGUCUGACCGAGCAACGCCGCGUGAGUGAAGAAGGUUUUCGGAUUGUAAAGCUCUGUUGUUAGAGAAGAACGUUGGUAGGAGUGGAAAAUCUACCAAGUGACGGUAACUAACCAGAAAGGGACGGCUAACUACGUGCCAGCAGCCGCGGUAAUACGUAGGUCUUGAGCGUUGUCCGGAUUUAUUGGGCGUUAAGCGAGCGCAGGCGGUUCUUUAAGUCUGAAGUUAAAGGCAGUGGCUUAGCCAUUGUACGCGUUUGAGAAUGGAGGACUUGAGUGCAGAAGGGGAGAGUGGAAUUCCAGGUGUAGCGGUGAAAUGCGUAGGUAUAUGGAGGAACACCGGUGGCGAAAGCGACUCUCUGGUCUGUAACUGACGCUGAGGCUCGAAAGCGUAGGGAGCAAACAGG